UACAGAGGUCUCAAGCGUUGUUCGGAUUCAUUGCGCGUAAAGGGUGCGUAGGUGGUGACGCAAGUCUGGUGUGAAAUCUCGGAGCUCAACUCCGAAAUUGCACCGGAUACUGCGUGACUCGAGGACUGUAGAGGAGAUCGGAAUUCACGGUGUAGCAGUGAAAUGCGUAGAUAUCGUGAGGAAGACCAGUUGCGAAGGCGGAUCUCUGGGCAGUUCCUGACACUGAGGCACGAAGGCCAGGGGAGCAAACGGG
rnacentral:rRNA from 1 species